AAAAACAGAAAAAAGAAACGAUAAGGAGGGGCUGAUUUCUUUGGGGAAAGGGACACGAAAAAGGCACCUAAAAAAAGAAGAAGAAGGAAACAAAAAAUGAAAGAUACGAAAACAACAAAAGAAAGAGAGUUUGAAAUCUCACAAUCACUCAUCUUCCUCAUAUUCCUUUUGAACAUAAACAAUGGCUAUAUUCUAUCCAAAUUCAGCUAGGUUGAAAUUAAUCUAUCAAAGCAACAUAAUGGAGAUCGAUUUCGUCGGUUGAGUUGAUGUCGAGUGGUUGAGGCUGAGAUCUAGUCCAUAGUAACCUGUGCUUUGUUCGAAUUCGAGGUGCAAUCACAUUCAAGGCAAAAUUAUAUAAUACAAAAGUCUUUUCCUUUUUCUACCUUGCUUCAAUUUUUACUUCAUAUAUCAUAAAUUAGUGGUUUAGUUGUUAUGUUUCAUCACGUUUUGAUAAUUUUAUUUAUUUAUUUGUUUUGCUUAAUUUGUGCUUGUUGUGUGGAAUAUAAAUAAUAACGAUUUCUGACUUUUUCUUUCUGUUUUUUUUGGGUUUCGUAAGAGUGAUAUGUGCUUAAAUUAUUUCUCCUCUAUAUAAUGUUCAGUUCAUUCUCUUGUCUAUUGUAUCAAUGCCUUCAUGCUUAGCUGCAUUGGUAUUUUACACUAAUUCUCUUAUCAGCAUGAGUUUGAUUAGUUUACUAAGAUCAUAAAUUGGAAGAUAGUUUUGGUUAUUAAAAAUGUGAAGAUGAAACUAUUUUGGGGUUCUUCUCUUCGUCUUUGAUUUCUCAUUAUCAGUGUGUAUGUACUUUAUUGGAUUUUGUUUAGUUAUUUUUUUGAGCUGACCCUUAUUGAUUUCACAUAGUCUUCUAUUGAGCUUAGUUUCCAAUUAUUUUCCGUAGUCCUCCAUCUUGGUUUUAUUACAAGUGUAAUACAUGAUUUAUAUAUGGAUUUAAAUAUGAAAAUUAGUAGAAAUUUGAAAUUUUGGGAGAAAAUAUAGAAUUUGGUUUUUUUGGAUUUUGACCACGAAAUUGGACAUGAAAUUAAGAAUAAAUUAUAUAUUUGAGUUCGUGGUGUUAUGAGUAAAGUUUAUCUUCGAAUUUUUUUGAAAUCCGGGCGCGUGGGCCCGAGGGUUGACUUUGUUGGCUUUUGAGCGAAGCUGGGAAUCAUUAUAAAUUGUUAAAUUAUACGUAUUGGGGUAUAUUUUGAUUGAUUUGCAUGAUGUUUGACUAGUUUUGAAGAGACGGGCAUCGGGUUGAGGUGUUUGAGUGGUGUUGGAUCCGGUUAUGGAAUUUCGAAGCGAGGUAAGUCUCUUGUCUAAUUUUGUGAGGGGGAAUUUACCCCAUAGGUAAUUAAAGUAAUAAUUGUUUCUAAUUAUGGGGGCUACGUACGCACGAGGUGACGAGAGUCCGUGCGUAGCUACUAUUAAUGCUAAAGUCCGGGUAGUUUAGGACACAAAGCAUGAAUUACUUGUACAAAUUAUAUUCUUUGUUUAAUUAAUAUUAUUUGAUAUAUAUAUAUAUUGUGUUAAUUGUUAGGUAAAAAUAUUAAAAGAUGGAAGUCUCAUAUGCUCAAUUUUCUGUUUAAAUUAAUUAAAUGUUAAAAAGAAUUGUUCAUCCUCUCGAAUUGAUCCUAUAAUAAAUAUACUCUCCUUCCGGAGGUACAUAAGAAAAUGUCCUCCUUUCUUGUGGAGUGGACCGAAUACCUCGGCAGGAUAGAUGCAUCUAUGGAUCGCGCCGCACGUCCCUCGGCAGUAUACACGACACUCUGGAUCGGGCCGUACGACCUCGACAGAAAUCGUGCCUAAUAAUAAUAAUUAUACAAUACUUUACUGUUUUUAAUUACAGCUUGUGGAUUUAAUUAAUAGAUUGAGAAUUGUUGCAUUUGAAGGAAUUUGAUUGAUAAGUUAGAAACUAUUGGAAAUUGAAAGAAUUAAUUAUCUCUGCUUGUUAAGAAAAUUAUGAUUAUUCCUGUAAAUGAGGCUAAUUGAUAAAUUAAAAAUUUAUUGGAAUUAAAGGAAUUUAAUUAUUUCUACUGGUUCAAUAAAAUUAUUGUUAACUCUGUGAAUCAUGUUGAUAAAAAUAUUUCUAUUUUUAUGUUACUUAUUAUUAUUGACCCUUAGUGAGUGUCAAAGUCGACCAUCUCGUCUCUACCUCUUCGAGAUUAGGCUUGAUACUUACUGGGUACACGUUGUUUUCGUACUCAUGCUACACUUGCUGCACAUUUUAUUAUGCAGGUACAUAUAUGCCUAGCUGCCUUGUGGGCGCAGAGGUGUAGUUAGUAAUUGUGGGGACAUAGGUGAGCUGAAUUAUGUAUUACGAUCAGCAGCCAAUAGAGUCUCCUUCAGAGUUAUUAUAUUUUCCUGUCUAUUUUGUAUUCUGGACAAAUGCUGUAUUUUAUUUUUAAUUCCUUAGUAAAUGCUCAUGCACUUGUGACACCGGGUUUUGGGAAUGGUUGUGAAUUAUUUAGAAAUUUAGUUGCUAAAAAUAUUUAUCAUUUA
rnacentral:lncRNA from 1 species